rnacentral:misc_RNA from 1 species
GAUGAAGAACGCAGCGAAAUGCGAUAAGUAAUGUGAAUUGCAGAAUUCAGUGAAUCAUCGAAUCUUUGAACGCACAUUGCGCCCGCCAGUAUUCUGGCGGGCAUGCCUGUUCGAGCGUCAUUUCAACCAUCAAGCCCCCGGGCUUGUGUUGGGGUCCUGCGGCUGCCGCAGGCCCUGAAAAGCAGUGGCGGGCUCGCUGUCACACCGAGCGUAGUAGAUUUUAUCUCGCUCAGGGCGUGCUGCGGGUUCCGGCCGUUAAACCACCUUCAUAACCCAAGGUUGACCUCGGAUCAGGUAGGAAGACCCGCUGAACUUAAGCAUAUCAAUAAGCGGGGA